AUCCCAUCCUAUAUUCAGUCUUCACAAUCCUCUCGUUCGAAUUUUCUUCGUGGGUGUACAAGAGACGCACAGACGGUCGUUGAUAUAUAUUUAAAUUACGACUGUGAAUUGGCUUUGUCGAAUAUCUUUCAAAGAUUGAUCAAUGAUUUGUCUAAAGUUGCCCAAGGACGUCAAGCUAUUAAAUUAAGAGCGACAUCAGUUCAAGAAUGCAGUAUUCGUAUCAAAGUUCUGGAAUGUCUCGUUUCUAUUCUUAAAUGUAUGGUAGAAUGGAGAAGGUAUCUUUACUUU